rnacentral:rRNA from 1 species
AGGGAGUUUGAUCCUGGCUCAGGAUUAGAUACCCUGGUAGUCCAGAAUUUGGCUUAGAGUUUGAUCCUGGCUCAGGACGAACGCUGGCGGCGUGCCUAACACAUGCAAGUCGAACGGAGCUGCUAUGGAAGACCUUCGGGUCGGAAGUUUCAGCUUAGUGGCGAACGGGUGAGUAACGCGUGAGCAACCUGCCUUUCAGAGGGGGACAACGGUUGGAAACGACCGCUAAUACCGCAUGAAGCAAUUUGACCGCAUGAUCGAAUUGCCAAAGAUUUAUCGCUGAAAGAUGGGCUCGCGUCUGAUUAGAUAGUUGGUGGGGUAACGGCCUACCAAGUCGACGAUCAGUAGCCGGACUGAGAGGUUGAACGGCCACAUUGGGACUGAGAUACGGCCCAGACUCCUACGGGAGGCAGCAGUGGGGAAUAUUGGGCAAUGGGGGAAACCCUGACCCAGCAACGCCGCGUGAAGGAAGAAGGCUUUCGGGUUGUAAACUUCUUUUACCAGGGACGAAGGACGUGACGGUACCUGGAGAAAAAGCCACGGCUAACUACGUGCCAGCAGCCGCGGUAAUACGUAGGUGGCAAGCGUUGUCCGGAUUUACUGGGUGUAAAGGGCGUGUAGGCGGAGCAGCAAGUCAGAAGUGAAAUCUCCGGGCUUAACCCGGAAACUGCUUUUGAAACUGUUGCCCUUGAGUAUCGGAGAGGCAGGCGGAAUUCCUAGUGUAGCGGUGAAAUGCGUAGAUAUUAGGAGGAACACCAGUGGCGAAGGCGGCCUGCUGGACGACAACUGACGCUGAGGCGCGAAAGCGUGGGGAGCAAACAGGAUUAGAUACCCUGGUAGUCCCCU